GCCGCCCUGGAUGAGCGAAGCUCCAGCGAGUAAGGUCUCUGUCGCAGGACUCUCCUCACGAUGAUCAUCAAGCGGAUCAACUUUACCCUCUCAAGGCUGAAACAGGGGUUCGAUUCCCCUAGGGAGCGCCA
rnacentral:tRNA from 1 species